UAGCUCAGCGGUAGAGCGCUUGCCUAGGAAGCACAAGGCCCUGGGUUCGAUCCCCAG
rnacentral:tRNA from 1 species